rnacentral:lncRNA from 1 species
CGAUCUGAUCCGAUCUGUGCACAACCCUAGUUCAUUUGACUCGGGGAGAAGGUGUUAGGCACUCCCCAAGUCCCGUAACUAUUACAGUUGCAUACUUGAUCUAGUCGGCUUUUAAAAUGUUCAAUUGAGAUAAAAACAUAAAAACAAAAUAAACACACAAGAGGCUAGAGGUCGUCCCCACCUAAAAAGAUAAAAAUAAAUAAAAGAAAAUAUUAAAGUUCUAUUCUACGCUUCCUCACGUCAUCCAAUCUCUGGCCUUCAUUUACAUGUACUUCGGGGCAUACUCCGGAGAAAAUAUAUACAAAUCCUUCGGGGCAUUCUCCCGUUUAACUAAGGGAACGACCUUUCGCCUCAAAACUAACAAAAUCCUAAAGUUUGCCUACCCAGGUGAUGACGGCUUAAAUAUGCUACUAACGCACAACGUGACAAAAUAAAGUGAAACAAACGAAACUAAAUAAAGCAAUAAAAUUCAUUACCUACUCACUUUCUUUUGAUUCAUUCACAUAACCAAACCUAGAUUCUACAACAUCUGGACAUGAUUUAAUUUUUAAGGGCUGGUAGUAUCAUUUUCCCACGACCAAUUUCAAAUUUUAUCAACCUGAGCUCAAUUCGUUGUUUGUUUCAGAUUUCGGGCUAUAUUGCCAUAACUUUAUCAAGCAAAUGCAAGAUAAUAGUGACAUAAGUAUCAACUAAACACAAAGUCCAAAUUAGAAAACAACAACCUACUUCAUUCAUCCUCAUAUAAGUGCAUAAAACAUCAAAAAUUAUAUUAAUCAAGAACAAGUUAAGAGACGGACCUUUUCCUUUCCAAAUGAAAUCUGAAAACGCUUAACAAAACUUCGACGGAACCGCGACCAAAAUUCAACAACGGACCUCGAAUCGGCAUCAGAAAACUCAAGCAAACAUGGAUUCAGACCCAAACAAACUCAAGCAAUGAAUUUCGAUAAUAAAGUGACUCCAACUUUGUUUCUGUUUUUGAUUUUUUUCAAAAUGACGUUGAAUCAAAAGAAAGUAAAAUAUUUUUUGGUACUUUGUUAUUGCAAUGCUCAGAUAAGUCCAUUCCCCAUCCCCCUUGUCCAUUUUUUGCUUCUAUUAGUGUGUGUGUGUGUGCUUUGGGCGGUGAGGUGAAAGAACUAGGAGGGGUCGCUGGGCGGAGUAAGCGGCGACUGGCUGGGGGAGUAUUUUUGCCGGAUUUUCUGGCCAGUUCUGGUGGGGGUGAGUUGGUUGGAGNUAAGUGUGUUGACNGUGGUCGGCGGCGAUUUACAACAACAACCAAAGGGUGAACGAUUAAAUCACUGAAACUCUGGCGAGUUAUGACGAGCACGCGGCUGCUGCUGUCCCUUUUCGCGGUGAGUUCGGGUGGCAGAAAUGGUGGAGUGAUGGUCGUUUAAGUGAGGUGAAGAAGCAGGUUGCGACUGGCUUCUUUUUGUGCUGAUGGCUGCUGAUCGUUUUUGGGUCCUAGGGCUCUAGGGUUUUCCUUGUUCUCUUGUCUUAGUUCUGUUCUAGGUUAGAAGAAGAUGAUGAGGAACAAGGGGGGGGGGGGUCGUAUGGUGUUUGAGAUUAGGAAGAAGAAGAAGGGCUGCUACAGUGUUUUGUGUCUUCAGGCGUUAGUUCCUCUAGGUCUAAGGUCUUGGGUUUGAUUAUUGUAUAUUCUCCUAAAUGGGGUCUAGGUUUGGGCUUUUUUAUCUCCUUAGGGGAAAUGGGAUAUGGGCUAACAAGAUUUGGACUUCAUAUUUGGGCUAAAAAUUCUAUAUAAUUGGGCUAAGAAAAGGCUAAAAUUUAAUCUACUUCUAAAAAUACUUAUAAGAAGAUAUAAGUAAUCUAAAAACUAAAGUUGAAACUAUUUUUGGUAUUUUCAGAGAUUAUAAAUAAAAUAGGUUCAAAGUAACAUAUCUUUCUAAAAAUAUCUAAUACGUGAAUUAAAUAGAGAAAUAUGGAACUAUUUUUGUAAUUUUCAAUUUUUGUUCUUAAAAUAAAGUAAAAGAGUUAAAACUACGUAAAAUAAUAAUAUUAGGCCUAAACUAAAUAUCUAAAAGAGUAAAAUCUCGGGGAGGGUCAAAAAUUACAUGUCUACAGCUGCCCCUCUUUGAUUGGAAAUACGAAGUAUUUUCAGACAAAGAACGACUAGACAAGUUUUUUGACCCAACCCUUAUUUAGAUAAACCAAAAUUUAGAGCAAGGAAGAGAGUGUGACCGAGCCCUAGUAUCUGAGCUGCCUACAUAUCCUUGGCUAUUAAGGAAUCAGGCCACGUGUAGUUCAGAAGUGAAUGAGGUGAUGGAGUAUACUGAGGUGGAGAGCCGGUCGAGGUGUCGUCGAGGUUCCGGUCCGCAGUUCCUGCCAUUACAUCGAAAAUGAAAGGAACAAUUACAACAAAAGUAAAAUAAAAAUGCAAGAUCCUAUCUACUUCUUGUCUUGGAUCUUCCGUGAAUCUCUACUUGAUCUUCAAUAUGAGACUGAAAAAUGGGCCCUGUUCUUUAGGCGAGCUCCUGAUGCUUCUUGAAUUUGCGAAUUGGAAGUAACUCUGAAAUGAAUCCCCUUGUUCUCUAGGUGGGUGCCUGAUUGCCAAAACUUGAAUUGCAUUCCCUUAUUAUCCAGGUGGGCGCCUGAUUACCAAAACUUGAAAUGUAUUCUCUUGUUCUUCAGGUGGGCGCCUGAUUUCCAAUACUUGAAUUUCCCUUGUUAUCCGGGCGCCUGAUUGCCAAAACUCGAAAUGUAUUCCCUUGUUAUCCGGGUGGGCGCCUGAUUUCCAAAACUUGAAUUGUAUUCCCUUGUUCUCCAGGUAGGCGCCUGAUUUCCAAAACUUGAAUUGUAUUCCCUUGUUAUCCAAGUGGGCAUAUGAUUGCCAAAACUUGAAUAGUAUUCCCUUGUUCUCCAGGUGGGCGCCUGAUUUCCAAAACUUGAAUUGUAUUCCCUUGUUAUCUAGGUGGGCGCUUGAUUGCCAAACAAUUGAAUUGUAUUCCCUUGUUAUCCAGGUAAGCGCCUACCAUUACAACAAAACAGACGAAACGAAAGAAAUUUUUCUGCCCCAGUUUGGAACCUGGGCGCAUCUGUGAGUGUUAAUCGAAUCAUGUUACCUAAAAGAGCUCUAAGAAUUUAAAAGCUAAAUCCCAUUAUCCAAGGGGGCCUUGAAAACUUCAAAUUAAAUCUCAUCAUAAGAGUGACAACUUUAAAGCUAAAUUAUAUUUCCUAAUGGUAGAACUUACGCUAAAUCUUGUUAUCUAGGAAGUUCUUGAAAUUUAACUAGGUUCCAUUAUCCAGGAGGGUCCUGAUAAUUUUAAAUUAAAUUUCAUUAUCCAGGAGGGUCCCGAGAACUUUUAAAAAUUAAAUUCCAUCAUCCAAGAGGGUCUUGAAAAUUUUAAAUUGAAUCCCAUUAUCUAGGAGGGUCCUGAUAAGUUUUAAAAAUUAAAUCUCAUUAUCCAUGACGGUCCUGAAAACUUAAAAACUAAAUCUCAUUAUCCAGGAGAGUCCUGAGAACUUUUAAAAGUUAAAUCUCAUUAUCAAGGAGGGUCCUGAAAACUUAUAAACUAAAUCCCAUUGUCCAAGAGGGUCCUGAGAAUUUUAAAUUAAAUCUCAUUAUCCAGGAGAGUCCUGAGAAUUUUUAAAAAUUAAAUCUCAUUAUCUAGGAGGGUCCUGGAAACAUGAAACCUAAAUCACAUUAUCCACGAGAGUCCUGAAAACUUAAAAAUUAAAUCUCAUUAUCCAGGAGGGUCCUGAGAACUUUUAAAAAUUAAAUCCCAUUAUCCAGGAGGGUCUUGAGAACUUUUAAAAAAUUAAAUCCCAUUAUCUAGGAGGGUCCUGAAAACUUGAAAACUAAAUCCCAUUACCCAUGAGGGUCCUGAGAAUUUUAAAUAAAAUCCCAUUAUCCAGGAGGGUCCUGAGAACUUUUAAAAUUAAAUCUCGUUAUCNNNNNNNNNNNNNNNNNNNNNNNNNNNNNNNNNNNNNNNNNNNNNNNNNNNNNNNNNNNNNNNNNNNNNNNNNNNNNNNNNNNNNNNNNNNNNNNNNNNNNNNNNNNNNNNNNNNNNNNNNNNNNNNNNNNNNNNNNNNNNNNNNNNNNNNNNNNNNNNNNNNNNNNNNNNNNNNNNNNNNNNNNNNNNNNNNNNNNNNNNNNNNNNNNNNNNNNNNNNNNNNNNNNNNNNNNNNNNNNNNNNNNNNNNNNNNNNNNNNNNNNNNNNNNNNNNNNNNNNNNNNNNNNNNNNNNNNNNNNNNNNNNNNNNNNNNNNNNNNNNNNNNNNNNNNNNNNNNNNNNNNNNNNNNNNNNNNNNNNNNNNNNNNNNNNNNNNNNNNNNNNNNNNNNNNNNNNNNNNNNNNNNNNNNNNNNNNNNNNNNNNNNNNNNNNNNNNNNNNNNNNNNNNNNNNNNNNNNNNNNNNNNNNNNNNNNNNNNNNNNNNNNNNNNNNNNNNNNNNNNNNNNNNNNNNNNNNNNNNNNNNNNNNNNNNNNNNNNNNNNNNNNNNNNNNNNNNNNNNNNNNNNNNNNNNNNNNNNNNGAGAACUUAAAAAAUUAAAUCCCAUUAUCCAGGAGGGUUCUCGAGAACUUAAAAACCUAAAUCUCAUUAUCCAGGAGGGUUCUGAAAACUUAAAAACUAAAUUCCAUUAUCCAAGAGGGUCCUGAGAAUUUUAAAUGAAAUGUCAUUAUCCAAGAGGGUCCUGAGAACUUUUAAAAUUAAAUCUCAUUAUCCAGGAGGGUCCUGAGAACUUUUAAAAUUAAAUCCCAUAAUCCAGGAGGGUCCUGAGAAUUUUAUAUUAAAUUUCAUUAUCUAGGAGGGUCCUGAGAAUCUUUUUAAAAAUUAAAUCCCAUUAUCCAGGGGGGUCUUGAAAACUUAAAAACUAAAUUCCAUUAUCCAAGAGGGUCCUGAAAAGCCGAGAAUGAACUUACCUGAGCCAUGCUCUCUUCUUGGAGGAUCUUGCACAGAAUUUCUUGCUCCUGAACCAUGCCUUCUUCAUGGGAGGGUCCCUGUGGAUUAACAAAUUUUCUUGCCCCUGUUUCAGAUAAAUAAAAUUUUGCUAGUUUGAAAACGUGGUAGUUAGUUUGUGGCAUCAUUGCUGGGUGUAUGCUUCUGCCGCUGCUGCGCUUCAUUCUGAUCAACUACUCCUAGCCAGCAAUGAGUUGUUUGACCUUUGAUUGGAACUGGACCACAAAACCUCCGGAUGACCUGAAUCUCUUACACUCACUUGUUGCAUUGUGUCUUCGUUUUGAAAGUUGUUGAGUCCUUGUAUUUUCUCAAAAUUCAAGAUUCACUUGAUUGCCUGAACCUCAGUUGUCAAUAUACUUCUUAUUCUAAAUCAUGUCAAUUGUGAUGUGUCUGGCCGAACACCGCUUUGUGCAAUUUAGAAGUUGGUAGUAGGCUUUGGAAUCCUUUCCUGCUUGUUCAACAAGGCUAACUCGAAAAGACUCAUAAAGAUAUACUUAAAGAGCAAAGUGAAAUGAUUUUUGACAAAAGGAACAAAGGAAAAUUUUGAACACAAAUGACUAUGUGAAGAAGAAUGGGAAGAAGAAGACUUAUCUGAGGGAAGCGGCCAGCGCCAAUGUUCAUGACAUGCAUUUCGGAUUGAUCAGCCUAAUCCGUCCAACCAAUCAUACUUUCAGUUCAUGUCAUGUCUUCAUACUUCAAUAACUGGGCUUUCACUGAUCCAAUUUCUCUGUAAAUUCAUGAGCCUCAUUCGACUUGUAAUGCCCCGAAGGGUUUUCACCAAUAAGCCUUUCUCAUUUGUUCAUCUCUCAACUCACCAUCGCCUUCCGGUGCCCGUAAGGGUUUUCACCAAUAAGAUUCUCUCAUUUUAAAUUUUCUCUUGGCUCACUAUCACCUUAUGGUGCCCAUGAGGGUUUUCACCAAUAAGACUCUCUCAUUUUAAAUUUUCUCUCGGCUCACUAUCGCCUUACGGUGCCCGUGAAGGUUUUCACCAAGAAGACUCUCUCAUUUUAUAUUUUCUCUCUUGUGCCCAUGAACAAAGUAUUACCCAUGAUGUAAAUUGUACCUCUAUCUCGCUUUACUUGGCAUCCUCAAAGAUUGAUCGAAAGGUCUUUCUUUGGACCGUAAUGUAGGCUUUUGGACAGGGUUAGAAAUAAAGGGUGACAUGAAGGCUCAAAAUAAUUUAAGAUGAAAAGGGGUUCAAAAUUAUAACUUUUGGAAUCAGAUCUUUUGCAAAACCAAAACUUUUGCCCCAGUUUCUUUGGGUCUGGGGAAUUUUGGAUUUUACUUUGAUGGGACCGAACCGUGUAAGGCUGCCUACGUAUCCUUAAAAGGAAUCAGGUCGAACGUAGUUCAAACAAAAGUUGUUUGUUUUUGUAGCUUUUCUUUUUUCUUUUCUCUUUUUUUUUUUCAUUUUUUCUUUCUUUCUUUUCUUUUUUUUUUUCUUUUCUCUUUUUUUUUCAUUUUUCAUUUUUUUCAUUUCUCUUAAUUCUACUCCUUGAUUUNNNNNNNNNNNNNNNNNNNNNNNNNUACGUAUCCUUAAAAGGAAUCAGGUCGAACGUAGUUCAAACAAAAGUUGUUUGUUUUUGUAGCUUUUCUUUUUUCUUUUCUCUUUUUUUUUUGCAUUUUUUCUUUCUUUCUUUUCUUUUUUUUUUUCUUUUCUCUUUUUUUUCAUUUUCAUUUUUUCAUUCUCUAAUUCUACUCCUGAUUCCAAAAGAGGGUUAUAAAAGAAACUAAAUAAGGCUCAAAACGGGUAGCAAAUGAUGUAAGUGUUUGGGUAGCGGAACAAAAUGCCUUCGUCAUUUCAACUUUGAAUAUGCCAAGUGCAAAAUGCAACUGAAAAUGAGCAAAGAACUCACAUAUAAUAUCUCUUGAUGGCAUCAACGCAAACAGAAAGUGUCGAUGGGAAAUACCUUUGUCCCAAUGAAUGAUCUUUGCCAAUUCGAAGCAGACUUGACUCAACCUUGCCUUGAUGUGGAAGAAUGCAUUUCAACACUGAAUGAUCUACCUCAAACUAUUCGGGAGACAUUUCCUUGUUGUAUGCUCUUAUCAACCUCUUGAUUUCCCAGACUAACUGCCUCAGUUUCACUCAAUUCAAGCUUCAAGCUAUCUAAGAAUGCAUGAAUCUUUACUCGUUUCCUCAAAUGCAUCUUUUUAUCAUAUUCAAAACUAUGUUUCAUUAUUCCAUGAUUAGAUUGGCUUUCAAAAUCUGGCUAAAAACUCUGCAUGCAUGUCAUGUCACCAGAACUGGCCUGGAGAGAACUAUAUACAAGAAAAGAAAUUAAACGAAGACUGCAGAUAACAAAAAAAAUCUCAUUUGAUCAAAGGAUGGAAGGGUUUGAACAGCAGAAUGAGAUCUAUAUUAAAGACCUAAAAUAACUCUAGAUGACAGACUUAGAGACACAAAACUAACUAACAAAACUCCUAGAGAUAGGCAAAAGAGGAUAGAAGGGUUUGAAUCACCAGAGCAAACAAGAUAAAAUCUGGGUUACAACCCUGAAAUAACUAGAUAGCAGAAAAGAUGCCAAAAUAAACUGCCAAGACUCCUUCCCUACGAGGAUAUGAGGUGCUUUCUAAUUACCAAGCUCGAGAUCUUAGCUACUGAGUUGCACAUCAAAAUUAUUGGGACCUUCACCAACUUCAAUCGCAUUGCCUUCACCACAUGGCUCAUUGACUCCUUUGAACAAACUUCCCUCAGCACUGACUGUUGAAUUGGCGACUAACCCCCUUAGAGAUCUUGCCGCAAAUGACUCACCAAAGGACUUGAAGGAACCUGCACAUUCGUUGUCAUUGCAAACCAUCCCAACAAUUUGUGCGUUGUCAUGUACAUAUAGAGGAUUAUGUGUGACACUUGGGGUACUACUGCCUUGGACCACAAUUAUCCCUUCUUGAAUCACUCUUUCUAUCUCCCUUUUCAAAGCACGACAAUCUUCAAUGAUGUGACCUUGGACAUUAGAGUGGUACAUGCACCGUACAGCGAGAUCAAAACCUUUUGCAUAUGGGUCCGGAGUGUAGCAGAGGAGUGGCUCAAUCAGGCCAGAAUGUUUUAACUUUUUAAACAACUUGUGUAGGAUUCUCCGAUUGGCCUGAAAUUAUCUUUCUGCCUUUGUUUCCCUCCAUGCCUAUGUUUUCUAGGGUUAUAGGGUUCCUGAAAAUGCUGUGAAGGCGCACGAGGAUUUUGGGAUACUGAUGCUCGCCCCAAGGAGUAACCUAGUGGUUGUACAGAUGACCAGACAGUGUUCGGAAGAUAAUACUAGGGUAGAUUAUAUGGAGCUCGGGGGUAUUCAUGGGGUCGGUAUUGAGGCUGAAAGCAUUUAGCAGGGUUGUCCACUGGAUCAUGUCGUUGACAGGACUCAGCAACAUCUUUUCUAUCAAUCGGAGAACUGACCCGAGCAACUUGUUCAUUCCAUCUGAACCAAAACUCCCUAAAACCUUUCUUGGGUUUCUUUCCCAUCUGAGAUAGGGAGGAGUGGUCUGGGAUAAUGUCUACAUUGUACUGAUAGUGCUGAACAAAAUCUUGAACCAUGUCACCCCAUGCAUGCCACUUACUGACAUCUUGACGAGUAUACCACUCCAAGGCUACCCUACUCAAACUCUCACUGAAAUACGCCAUCAACAAUUCAUCUUUCCCGCAAACACUUUUUAUUUUAUUGUAGUAACCCCUCAAAUGGGCUACUGGAUUUCCACGCCCAUCAUAUAAGUUAAACUUUGGCAUUUUAAACCCUGCAGGCAGACGAAUAUCCGGAAACAUACACAAGUGAUUGUAAGACAUGUUAUUUCCCAUCCUUUGCAUGUUCUUUAAGGAUUGUCCUAUACCUUUCAGCUUUCUGGAUAUCUCAUCUUGCUUCACUGUCUUAGCAGGAUUUUCAGCUUCACCGGGAGGCUUAAGAUGAAGAGCGUAAGAGUAUGGAUCUGAGACUUUGAAAGGGGUAUUGGAGCAUAGUGUUGGGCAUCAGGGACUUUGAACGCAUGUUCAUUAGAAGAUCGAUGAAGGGUAGCUCGAGGAGGGGCUACAAAAAUAGGAGCAGAUGUCAGAAUAGGGUAUGCGGUUAUUUUGGCUGGUGGAGCAUGGAAAGUUUGGGAAACAUCAGUACCAGCAAAAAUCUGGAUUUGUGACAAUGGCGGAAUGGUGACGAGGCUUUCAGAGUAGUUAGUGGGAAAUAAUGAUGGAGAACGCCCACUAAUCCAGGCUUGGUACAUUCUGACCAUCUGUUCUUUCAACCUUAGGACCUCUUCUUUCAACUCAGUAUCUCCUUAGGCGGAUCGACAACGCCUGUAUCCAAGUCUUUGCUAGCCAUGGCUUCCUUGCUUUUGACUUUGUGUUGUAUGGAUGAAUCACCAAAGUGUCACAAACUAACCACCCUCUUUUAUAAUAACAAUGAAAGUAACAAAGAGGAGCAAAACAAAGCCAACAUGUUAGCGUUAGAGCAUUUAUCAGGUAGAAAUAUCACAUUGCGUGCAAUGCCCCCUAGUCACAGUUAAUGGUCCUAGAAUAGCUUCGAGGGAACGAAGGUCAUAUGGCAUCAUCCCAAUUUCACUCUUUUUGCCCCAUAUCCAUCUUCGUCUUGCUUUCUAACACGCUUGGUUUUUCAUUUCUUUCCCCCUCUUUUCUUUCUGAUUAUCGCUCUUUUCUUUUCUCUCAUUUCUCAUGUCCCGCAAUUUGAUUUUUUUUCCUUUCCUUUUUCCUUUUUUUAAAUUUGACUUUUAAAAAUGAUUUGAUCCAACCCUAUGUAGGUUGCCUACAUAUCAUGUCCCUCAUGAAUCAGAUCAAGCGUAGUUCUGAAAAAGUAAUGGACAAAUAAACUAAGACACAAAAAUCUUUUUGGAUUUUUCAUUUAUAACUUUUUUCGGUUUUCAAAUACAAAACAGGAAGUACGAUAAUGAGAGACUCGACAAACUAAACUAUACUACGAUAGCUCUGACACCAACUAAAUGACUGAAUACUACUGUACAUGACUAGAAAGUAAAACAUGAACAAUAGACUCAAAACAUAAAAAAGCUCCCCAAACAACUCCUGAAUGUAGUGGUCCUGAGUAUCUGUCAUGCUUGAGUCCUGGUACAUGGAUCCACACCUGAAUGAGAAAAAUAAGACCAAAUAGAGUUAAUGACUCGAGACACUACGUGAGACCAUAAUGCUUCCUAUUGGGCAUAUGCAAGGCACGAGUGAGGUUAUUUCUGCAAAAUGGCCAACGUGGAAAAAAGGUGGUUAAAAAUAAAAACUCAAUUAGGAUGACCUCUAAAACAUGGAAACACCUCACGAAGUCCCAUAAACUCUCGGGAAUCGUGGUCCCUCAAACUGCUUUGCAAAAAUGACCCACUUUGCAGAAAUGGCCUAUGUGGCCGAAAAAUGACUAAUUAUGCAAAUUCAACAGGAGUGGACCUUAAAAGUGAGAGGACACCUUGUUGUGAACUUAGGACUCUAAGACAUGGGAAAACAAACCACGUUUGCAAAAAUAUGCCUAUUUUGCAAAAACGACCGAUGUGGUCGAACGUGGCUAAACUUGCAAGAUUUGGCUACGACCCCGCAAAGCCAAGAACCUAAGACUUACUAAGAAAGACCAGACCCUAUGUGGGUUGCCUAUGUAUCACGUUCCGAAAGACGAGAAUCAGGUUCGCGUAGUUCGGGAAGAUUGGACAUGGGAGAAAGCUUAAAAAAUGACACUAAUUUGGAAAAAAUAUAUUUUUUUGUCUUUUUGAAAAAUGAUGUAAAAUAUUUAUUUAUUUUUUGGAAAAUUAUGGGAAAGUGCAAAUCGUUUUUUUUUUUUUUUGGAUUUUCGUUUUCUCAUUUUUGUCUUUUGAAAAAUGAUGGGAAAGUGCAAAAUCUUUUUGGAUUUUUCAUUUUUUUUUUUUUGAAAAAUGAUGGGAGAGUGCAAAAUCUUUUUGGAUUUUUCAUUUUCUCUUCUUUUUUUUUUGAUUUUUGAAAAAUGAUGGGAGAGUGCAAAAUCUUUUUGGAUUUUUCAUUUUCUCUCUUUUUUUUUAUUUUUGAAAAAUGAUGGAAAAAUGCAAAAUCUUUUUGGAUUUUUCAUUUUCUCAUUUGUUUUUGUCUUUUUCUUGAAAAAGUUGUGAAAGAAAAAUAUAACUAGGCCCUACUCGCUUCAUCUUUCACCCUUCUUUCCCAAACAUAGGUCCGCCAAAUGACCUUUUUACCCUCAAAGAUGCAACAUGUAUCACAUAGGGAUGAUUGAAUAUUUGUUUGGGCCAUGGGCCCAUUUUUGACAAAAUUUGGAUAGGCUUCCUACAACGGGAUACGGUGCCUAGGACCGAACCUUGCUAGGUUUAAAUGAUACGAUACAAAUAAGCAUGACCUAAAGGCUGACCUACGUUUGGGGUUCACUAGACAAGGCAAUUCGGGGCAGCACGUGGUCGAUCGUGGCUGCUCUAGCUGUCCGCCCACUCAACGCUCCCACGCCACCCCCCUAAAGACAUGGGUGACUCACAAAAAGGCCGUGUACGCUCAAACGUACUCCGGAAGACUUGUUGCAGAAAGAAGACUCGGGGUUAUGCAAAUGAUGACAAUUUAUAAAGCAGUAACACAUAAAGGAAAAACUGUAAACAAAUAAGCAACUAGCAAAUAAUAAAAUAAAAAUAAAAAUCAAAUAAAGCAAACAAAACACAUAAAAACCUCAACCGAACAUCCUAAAAAGCCAACAAGAUCAAAUAAUAGCUCGAACCUGCAACUCUCCAGUAGAGUCGCCAGAGAUGUCACACCUCUUUUUUAACAAACCUCACUUAACCCUCUUAAAAUAAAUAAAAAGAUUUAGUAAAGCUCAAAAGGGUUUUUCAAUUUUGAAAGUGACAAAAGAUAGUGUUCAAAAGGAUUAACUCAGAUUUGCUACCUGACAUUGAUUUCGGUGUGCCAGGUCACCGUUUUUAAAAAAAAAAAAUUUCCUUUAAAACACUUGGGACUCCAAAACUAAGUCCACACUAGAGAUUUGGGUAAGGGGGUUCAUUUGACUCGGGGAGAAGGUGUUAAGCACUCCCCAAGUCCCGUAACUAGUACAGUUGCAUACUUGAUCUAGUCGGCUUUUAAAAUAUUCAAUUGAGGUAAAAACACAAAAACAAAAUAAAAACACAAGAGGCUAGAGGUCGCCCCCACCUAAAAAGAUAAAAAUAAAUAAAAGAAAAUAUUAAAGUUCUAUUCUACGCUUCCUCACGUCAUCCAAUCUCUAGCCUUCAUUUACAUGUACUUCGGGGCAUACCCCGGAUAAAAUAUAUACAAAUCCUUCGGGGUAUUUCCCCGUUAAAUUUAACUAAGGGAACGACCUUUCGCCUCAAAACUAAUAAAAUUCUAAAGUUUUCCUACCCAGGUGAUGACGGCUUAAAUAUGCUACUAACGCACAACGUGACAAAAUAAAGUGAAACAAACGAAACUAAAUAAAGCAAUAAAAUUCAUUACCUACUCGCUUUUUUUAUUCAUUCACAGAACCAAACCUAUAUUCUACAACAUCUGGACAGGAUUUAAUUUUUAAGGGCUGGUAGUAUCAUUUUCCCACGAUCAAUUUCAAAUUUUAUCAACCUGAGCUCAAUUCGUUGUUUGUUUCAGAUUUCGGGCUAGAUUGCCAUAAUUUUAUCAAGCAAAUCCAAGAUAAUAGUGACAUAAUUAUCAACUAAACACAAAGGCUAAAUUAGAAAAUAGCAGCAUACUUCAUUCAUCCUCAUAUAAGUGCAUAAAACAUCAAAAAUUAUAUUAAUCAAGAAAAAGUUAAGAGACAGACCUUUUUCUUUCCAAAUGAAAUCUGAAAACGCUUAACGAAACUUCAACGGAACAGUAACCAAAAUUCAACAACGGACCUCGAAUCGGCAUCAGAAACUUCAAGCAAACACGGAUUCAGACCCAAACAAAAUCAAGCAAUGAACUUCCGAUAAUAAAGUGACUCCAACUUUGUUUCUAUUUUUGAUUUUUUUCAAAAUGACAUUGAAUCAAAAGAAAGUAAAAUAUUUUUUGGUACUUUGUUAUUGCAAUGCUCAAAUCAGUCCAUUCCCCAUCCCCCUUGCCCGUUUUGUGCUUCUGUUAGUGUGUGUGUGUCUUUGGGCGGUGAGGUGAAAGAACCAGGAGGGGUUGUUGGGCGGAGUAAGCGGCGACUGGUUGGGUGACAUUUUCACCGGAUUUCCGGCCAGUUCUGGUGGGGGUGGAGUUGGGUGGAGAUGAGUGUGUUGAGAGUGGUCGGCGGCGGUUUACAACAACAACCAAAGGGUGAACGAUUAAAUCACUGAAACUCCGGCGAGUUAAUAACGAACAGCGGCUACUGCUGUCCCUUUUCCCAGUGAGUUCGGGUGGUAGAAAUGGUGGAGUGAUGGUCGUUUAAGUGAGGUGAAGAAGCAGGUCGCGGCUGGCUUCUUUUUGUGCUGAUGGCUGCUGAUCGUUUUUGGGUCCUAGGGCUCUAGGAUUUUUCUUGUUCUCUUGUCUUAGUUCUGUUCUAGGUUAGAAGAAGAUGAUGAGGGAACGAAGGGGGGGGGGGGGGGGUUCGUAUGGUGUUUGAGAUUAGGAAGAAGAAGAAGGGAUGUUACAGUGUUCUGUAUCUUCAGGCGUUAGUUCCUCUAGGUCUAGGGUCUUGGGUUUGAUUAUUGUGUAUU